rnacentral:rRNA from 1 species
CGGACGGGUGAGUAACACGUGGAUAACCUACCUAUAAGACUGGGAUAACUUCGGGAAACCGGAGCUAAUACCGGAUAAUACAUUGAACCGCAUGGUUCAAUAGUGAAAGACGGUUUUGCUGUCACUUAUAGAUGGAUCCGCGCCGCAUUAGCUAGUUGGUAAGGUAACGGCUUACCAAGGCAACGAUGCGUAGCCGACCUGAGAGGGUGAUCGGCCACACUGGAACUGAGACACGGUCCAG